rnacentral:rRNA from 1 species
CAGCAGUAGCCGCGGGAAUACGUAGGUGGCAAGCGUUGUCCGGAAUCAUUGGGCGUAAAGGGCUCGCAGGCGGUUUCUUAAGUCUGAUGUGAAAGCCCCCGGCUCAACCGGGGAGGGUCAUUGGAAACUGGGAAACUUGAGUGCAGAAGAGGAGAGUGGAAUUCCACGUGUAGCGGUGAAAUGCGUAGAGAUGUGGAGGAACACCAGUGGCGAAGGCGACUCUCUGGUCUGUAACUGACGCUGAGGUGCGAAAGCGUGGGGAGCGAACAGGAUUAGAUACCCCUGUAGUCCCUGUCUCUUAUAC